CUAAAACGUAUAUUAAAGUUGUUGCGGUUAAAAGCUCGUAGUUGGAUUUCUGUUGAGAUCGGUCGGUCCCCACUCUGUGGGCGUAUCUGAUAUGGUCUUGGCAUCCUCAUAGGGAACCGGAGGCACUUCACUGUGUGGCCGGGAAUCUAUGACUUUUACUUUGAGGAAAUUAGAGUGUUCAAAGCAGGCAAGCGCCUUGAAUACAUUAGCAUGGAAUAAUAAUAUAGGGCUUUGGUUCUAUUUUGUUGGUUUCUAGGACUAAAGUAAUGAUUAAUAGGGAUAAUUGGGGGCAUUUGUAUUAACGCGUCAGAGGUGGAAUUCUUGGAUUGCGUUACGACAAACUACUGCGAAAGCAUUUGCCAAGGAUGUUUUCAUUGAUCAAGAACGAAAGUAUGGGGAUCGAAGACGAUUAGAUACCAU
rnacentral:rRNA from 1 species